UGGGGAAAAAAGGGCCUUCCCCAA
rnacentral:tRNA from 1 species